rnacentral:siRNA from 1 species
GAGGUAGAAUGUUCCUUUCGGUAC